GGCUAACGCUGGCGGCGUGUCUUAGCCAUGCAAGUCGAGCGGACUUAUGGGGUAACUUAUAAGUCAGCGGCGGACGGCGGAGUAACACGUAGCUAACCUACCCUCUGGACGGGGAUAACCUACCGAAAGGUGGGCUAAUACCCGAUGUAGUCAUCCUGUAUAGGGGUGAUGAAAGGUGGGCUUCUGUUUACAAGCUCAUGCUGGAGGAGGGGGCUGCGGCCUAUCAGGUAGUUGGUAGGGUAAUAGCCUACCAAGCCGAUGACGGGUAGCCGGCCUGAGAGGGUGACCGGCCCGAGGGGCACUGAGAUACGGGUCCCACUCCUACGGGAGGCAGCAGGCUAGAAAUUUGGGCAAUGGGGGAAACCCUGACCCAGUGACGCCGCGUGCAGGAAGGAGCCCUUCGGGGUGUAAACUGCUGUCGUGUAGGGAGAAGGGUACUAAGGUGAACAAUCUUAGUACUUGACGGUACUACAGGAGGAAGCCCAGGCUAACCUCGUGCCAGCAGCCGCGGUAAUGGCUACGUAGA
rnacentral:rRNA from 1 species